rnacentral:lncRNA from 1 species
CCGCCCUGGGUCCUGAAGGAAAUAGAGGCCUGCCCGGGGGCCUGGAGCGGAGGGAGGCGGGGCAGUGCGGGGCGGUGGCUGGGUCCAGAGUCCCGAGAGGCCUGGCUGCAGGGGAAUGAAGCCUCCGCCUUCCCCGGCAGAAGCAUUUAAAUACGGCCGCGGGCCCCGGAUUCGGGGAGCGGUGUGUGGAGCCUUCGGCUUGGUAGUAAGGCGCUGUCCGAACGAACAGGACCCGAGCGGCAGCCAUGCUCCGGCCUUGGAAGUGGGGACUUCUGCAGUCCAUUGUUGGCCGAGUCAUAUGCCUGGACAUUCUACUUGGUUAUCAGGGGAGGCCUUUCUUGGGGGCUUCAGAGACCAUGUUUUUCGUGAGCUCUUGAACAUCUUCCUGUCCUACGUGACUAGGCCCUGGAACAGUUGAUGCCAACCAGAUGCCAGUUUCCCUUUUGUAGAGGUGGGACAGCUGCAGUGACAGUCGGAAAGAUAUCUUCCCACAGGUGAGAUUUUCAGAAGAUUCCUUCUAGCUUAGUCACUUAGUGUUCCCAACAUCAUCUUUCCCAUCCACUUAGGGUAGGGGAAGCAAGAUGGGUGAGGCAAGGAAAGAUAGGUGAUUGCCAGAAGUCAGCUUGGGUAGGUACUCUUGGUAUUUUCACCAAGGCAAGUCUUGCAAUCCUAAAAAUUUAAGAAGAAUGUUUUAUUUCUGUAGCUUCACAGGUGCUAAUAGAGACUUUUAACUCACUUACUUAGGCUCUUGAGGGAUCAGUUUUAAUAUUUCCUGUAAGUGAAUCCGUAUAGAAGAAUGCACCGUAACAGUUAAAGAGGUGAGGUAGGGGAAGGAUGGAUGUGACUUUAGAAUACAGUGAGUUUAAAGAAGCCAAGUGUAGAGACUGUCUAUGUAUGGUAUUUCUUCAGUUUGAAAAUAAGAUUAUGCCAGGCAUGAUGGUACAUACCUUUAAUCUCAGUACUUGGGAUUCAGACGUAUCUGAAUCUGAGGCCAGCCUGGUCUACAUAGCAUGUUCCAGGACAGCCAGAGCUGCAUAAUAGAGAAACCCUGUCUCAGAAAGACCAUAAGGCAUGCACACAUAAAUGAAUACAGUUGGGCAAAGUAACACUGGGAGUGUACACAAGAAACAAAGGAGCUGCCAUAGAAGCAGUCAGUAGGGAUGGGGGAGAAAUGAGGCUUCUUGAGAUAUUUUUUUCUUGUAACAUUUGACCUUGGCACUGACAGGAUGACUCCACUGGUAAAGGUUCUUGCCACCAUGCCUGAGCUAUAAAAUUUCAAGGCUUGCCUAUUUGGGGAACUAAAACUGUUUUGUUUUUUUUGUUUGUUUGUUUGUUUGUUUUUUUCAAUACUAAGAAUCAGACUCAAUAGCUCACCUUAUACAAGCUGGGCAAACAGCCUUUCACUGAACCACAGAUACAUUCUUGCCAAACACUGACUGGUCUUACCCAGAGCACCUUCUCUGAUCCAUACUGGAGUCCACAACAGACUGCUAAGCUGUCUGACUAUUUUCCUUC